GCCGGGAGCAGUUGUGCGCGCCUGUAGUCCCAGCUACUCGGGAGGCUGAGGUGGGAGGAUCACUUGAGCCCAGGAGUUCUGGGCUGUAGUGCGCUAUGCCGACCGGGUGUCCGCACUAAGUUUGGCAUCAAUAUAGUGACCUCUCGGAAGCGGGGGACCACCAGGUUGCUUAAGGAGGGGUGAACCAGCCCAGGUUGGAAACGGAGCAGGUCAAAACUCCGGUGCUGAUCUGUAGUGGGAUCACACCUGUGAAUAGCCACUGCACUCCCGCCUGGGCAACAUAGCAAGACCCCGUCUCU
rnacentral:SRP_RNA from 1 species